UACAUGCUCAUUAAUGUUGCAAAAGUGAUUCCACAGAUGCGUCUUGGGAUAUGGAGUCACUUCCCCAAUUUGUGUUACUACCUAAAAGUGUUAAUGUAUUAAUAAUUCCACAUAGGAUUUGGGAAGUCUGAGAUUUCCUCAUAACAUCUAGUUUGCUUUACUUAAUACUAUAUCUUUCUUUAAUGAUAAAAUAUCAGUUAAUAACCUUAUUAUAUAUAUGAGUCUAUAGGCUGUGGUGAAAGUCAUUCAGAUAAGUUAAUUUCAAGAUGUUCUACUGCCCAAGAAGUUAAAUUCUUUACCACUUAGUUUGUAAAGGAGAAGAAUGACAAGAGCGCAAAAGCUGGAGGGAAGGAUAGAGUUAUAAUUGGGGUAUACUGACCAACACUUUUGAACAUAUGUCUAUUUUUUUUUGUAAAUUAGAUUUCUUUACUUCUUUUGAUUGAUAAUUUUGCUCAUCAUUUGAUCACUUCAGAAUUCAUCACUUUUAUUAAUUCCCUUCGGUUUUCACUCUAAUGCUUAAGAACAUUAGAGUCCCUUAAUCUCUUGUUUUAAAAAAAAUAAUGUGGUUGUAGUAAUUUAUAAUAUUUUAAUAUUUGUUCUAACCCUGUGAAAGCCAAGCAAAGAUUUAAUAUCUGUGUUGUUUUGAAAAUAAUAUUUUAGAAUAGAUUAUUAAUAACCAUGUGACUUUUUGCAUACUCCUUCUUUUGGGAGCUAUGUUCAGAAUUCUUUUUUUACUGCCAUGGCACAUACCCAGAGUCACACAUCUAAGACUCUUAAUGGCUUACCUGCACUCCCCAUUUCUUUCACCCUGCCUUACAUGCCUGAUUCCACCACUUAUGCCUGUUUUUCCCUGUAUCUCCUCUUCUCUUUGCCUCUCUUCCAGACUCUCUACUUCUCUUUUCAGGAUUCCCUAAGGUUGACAUAAAAGGGACACAAGACUGGGUGAAUAUGCAAGUGAAGUCUUCUCAUUAAAAAAAAAUAGGUAGAAAUAAGAAAAAUCUCACUCUUUAGUUUGGCAGCAGGAGAGCAUCAUGGUUAAAACCACAGAAUCUAAAGCUGAGGUUCAUACUCUGGCUUUGCUUCUAGUAUGUGAUUUUGUUUCUUAAUUUCUAAGAGGUUCAGUUUUCUUAACGUAAAAUGGAGGUGAAUUUCUGACCUCAUAGGGCUUUAUAAGGAUUAAAUAUAUUAAUAUUUAAGUUAAUAUAUAAAUACUUGGUUGUAAUAUAUAAUAUAAUAUACUUAGAAUAACCCCCAGCACAUAAUGAGCGCUAGUUAUGCUAUUGCUAUGUAAUUAUUAGCAUGCUAUUAUGCUACUAUUAUUACUAUAUCUAAGUUAUAGCUAUAUACAUUUCAGUUAAUACUAUUAGUAAACUUAUUCACAAUCAUGAAAAGAAGGGAAUUUCAGGGCAAAUUAUGCUAGAUUGCAUUCUUGGUCAUAGAAAAAUUAAAAACUUAUAAACAAUGUCUCCCUGAUCUUUAAGCACAUUGCAUUAUAGAUUCUACUAAGACAAAACAAACUAUAUUUUUAAUGUAAUUAUAAUCAUUUACUGCAAAUCUUAAUUAGCUUCUGUGUUCUUUGUUUAAAUUUAUAAAAUUUGCUUUUAUCUUUAAGAAACAUGAUACCAAAAUCUCCAAAUCUAUAAUUUCAGUAUGGUCUAAAGUUAUAACUAAGCAAACUCUAUAAAAAAAAAAGUGAAGGUACAGGUAUAUUGGUAUAGAGAAACUGAACCUAUGGGAAAGGCAGUCCUUUUUGGAAUGGUCACUCUUUCUCAGUUUGCUUCAGGCAUAUUAGAAAUCAGAAUAUCUUCUUUUCCCAUCACAUCAUCACUAGGUCUUUUCCAUUACUUAAUACUAUCUUCAGAGUCUUGGUUGCAAAAUUAAGAAUAUUCUCUCUUAAUAAAAGCUAAAUACAUCAAGAAAUAAAAAUAGGCAUUUAUAAAUUAUAUAUGGAAGACUGGCAUUUAUAGAUUGAGAUAUCAAUAGAAAUAUUAGAGAUAAAAUAAAGGUGAUUACAAUAAUUUUAUCCUAUAAGAAUUAACACACAUUUAUUAUGUGCCAAUAAAAGGCAGGCUUUGUGUUAGUCAAUCCUGUGGUGGAUAAAAAGAGAUAUCGCUAUCUUAUAAUGAUCUUACAUACUGCACUAGGUGUCUAGGAGACAAUGAUGAAUAAAGCACAGUCUAGGUCCUCAAAGCCAAGUGGGAAACAAAGCCAUAGCUGUCAAGGAUCUUUAGGUUAAUUUUCAGAAAACUCCAUGGCUUGCAGAAUCUCACAAGCAAAGUGUUGAAUAAGAGAAACCAAGCCCCACCUUGAUAUUUGCAUUUGAGAAAGGUUCAAAAAGGCAAAACUGACUAGUGUGAUGUGAUACUUCACUGUAGUUUUGAUUUGCAUUUCUCUAAUAAUUAGUGAUUUUGAGUACAUUUUCAUGUGCUUUUUGGCCAUAUGUCUGUCUUUUUGGAGAAAUGUCUGCUUAGAUCUUCUGACCAUUUAAAAAAUUAUUUUUAUAAAUGUUUUAUAAAUGUAUGAGAUGUUUGUAUAUUUUGGUGAUUAACCCCUUGUUGGUUGCAGUAUGGAGUUUCCUCAAAAAACUAAAUAUAGAACUAACAUAUGAUACAACAAUCCCACUCCUGGGCAUAUAUCCAGAGAAAAACAUAAUUCGAAAUGAUGCAUGCAAUGUUUACACAGCACUACUUACAAUGGCCAAGACAUGGAAGUAACCUAAAUGUCCAUCAACAGAGCAUUAGAUGAAGAAGAUGUGGUACACACGUACAAUGAAAUACUACUCAGCCAUAAAAAAGAAUGAAAUAAUGCCAUUUGCAGCAACAUGGAUGGACCAAGAAAUUAUCAUACUAAGUGAAGUAAGUGAAACAGAGAAAGACAAAUAUCACAUGAGAUCACUAAUAUGUGGAACCUAACAAAACACAAUACAAAAGAACUCACAAAACCAAAACAGGCUCAAAAAUUUCGGAACUAAAUUUGUGGGUAUCAAAGGGGAAACGUGAUGGGAGGAAGGAUAAAUUAGGGGAUUGACGUAUAUAUACUACUAUAUACAGAACCCACAAGAAACAGAGAUCUACUGUGUAGAAUAGGAUAAUCUAUUUAAUACUGUGUAAUAACCUGUAAGGGAAAAGAAUCUGAAAAGGAAUGGAUAUAUGCAUAUAUAUAAAACUGAUUUACUUUGUUGUACACCUGAAACUAAUACAACUUUGUAAGUCAACUAUACUUCAAUAAAGUUUAUAUUUAAAAAAGAGGAAAAACUAAGCUAUGGUGUUAGAAAUAAGUGACUACCCUCACCAGAGUAGGAAGUGGUGAUUAGAAGUAAGCACAAAGCAGGCAUCUGUGAUGCUGGUAAGACUUAGUUUCUUAAUAUGGGUGCUGAUUAUAUGGGGUUGCUCACUCAGUGAAAAUACACCUGAUUUUUACACUUUUUGGUAUGGAUAUUAUGUUUCAGUUAAAAAAAAAUCCCAUGACUUGUUAGAAUUCCAAAACACUCUCCUGAUAUUUCUCCAAAUUUCUUGGGAGAGGCAUGAUAACAUUCUUUUGGUUUUCAUUUCUUCCAGGUCUCCUACCUUUAGAGAUUUGGGAAGUAUACAAAAAAGUGGUUUUAUUGGAGUAGUGUAUAUAACUUUAAAUGUAAUAAGCAUCAUUAUUCAUGAACACAUCCUUUGUCCUCUUCACCAUUACGGGUAAACUAGUUGUAGAUUCUCCCCAUAUCUUUCAUUUGAUAUUUUUCUCCUGUGUAUUCUCCUCCCUUCCUCUGAGUCAGCUGAACCUUGUACACUGUCUCCAUUCUCUACAAUGUGCCCAACUCCAGCUGUGGAGAGAAGUUCCGGGUAUGCUUUGAUUCACUUCGUUCUGACCACAUCUCCCUUCAGUCAUACAUGGAGAGUUGUAUGAGGUGCUUCUCAUGCUGUGGCAUAGGAUGCAAGGGAGGCCCACACAGCAUGUGCAAAUGCUGAAUGCAAAGGAAAUUUAACACUCUCUGGCACAAUCCUGUACCAACAUAAAGCUGAUGGGUAAAUGCUACUUUAGGUUUUCUACAUGUGCCUCAGAGAAGUUCCUGGAGUGCUGUUGCCACAGCAGUGACUAACUUGAAAACACACCCCCUUUUCUCCUUGAAGGUUUUACAGUUGCUGAUUGCAAACUCCUGCUCACUGUGAUUACUUUCCAAAUAAACUACCUGUGCAGAAGUCUUUAAGGCUUUACUUACCAGGGGUCGGGUGGCAGGGGGUAGGGGGGGUUAUGACAAUGGCUAAGCAAGUGGUACCUAGAAAGCAGACAUAAAGGAGAGGAUUCCAGAACUAAAUCACUUAUCAGUCAGAGGCAAACAGAAAACCCACUGGUAAUGGGCAGUGGGAUGAUGAUAAGGUCCAGGUAUGCCAUAGCAUUAUGAUAACUCAGUCUCUCACCUGCAGUGAAAUAGGCCAAGUGGAAAGCCAUGGAAGGUGAAGUGGUGGACUAGUCUGUAGCUCUAACACAUCAGUGGGCAAUGGCAAGUUUAAUAAUCAUGAAAUUGACUGGCUGAUGUUUACACUUUGGAAAAUUUUUCUCGAAAUGAGACUCAGGAGUUUCAAAAGAAAGUAAAAGUCUAGACUUGAAAGGUUUCCUAUGCUUGGUUUUGUGGAGCUACAGUUUUCUCUCUAGUCAUUGCAGUGCUUACACAGUGGGCCAUGAAAGAAAAGGCCAAGGUGGCAGAGGGCAAACUGUAUAUGGCUCCAGAAACAUGAACUCUCUCCCAAGGCUGACUUAGCUACUACACUUCUCAAUACCUGAACUGCCAACAUCAAAGAAUGAUGGUGCACACCUAUGUUCAAUUAAUCUUCAAGAAAGGAGGCAAGAAUAUAAAAUGGGAAAAAGACAGUCUCUUCAGCAAGUGAUGCUGGAAAAGUUGGACACCUGCAUGUAAAUCAAGGAAGUUAGAGUACACACCACACACCACACACAAAGUUAAACUCAAAAUGGCUUAAAGAGUUAAAUGUAAGACAAGAUACCAUAAAACUCCUAGAAG
rnacentral:lncRNA from 1 species